UACGUAGGGGGCAAGCGUUGUCCGGAUUUAUUGGGCGUAAAGAGCGUGUAGGCGGCCAUACAGGUCAGCUGUGAAAACUCGAGGCUCAACCUCGAGACGUCGGUUGAAACCGUAUGGCUAGAGUCCGGAAGAGGAGAGUGGAAUUUCCGGUGUAGCGGUGAAAUGCGCAGAUAUCGGGAAGAACACCCGUGGCGAAGGCGGCUCUCUGGGACGGUACUGACGCUGAGACGCGAAAGCGUGGGGAGCGAACAGG
rnacentral:rRNA from 1 species